GCUCCCUAAACCUAAGAUCAGGCCACCAGAGCUAUGGUCCUUUUCAUAGCUUUUUCCACAACAGUUGAUCGCAACUAGGUGUGAAAUUGCAUGUAAAGAGAACAACCACUGGUUGGGGUUUUCACUAUAGCCAAACUGGAAUUAGUCCAAACGUGACACCGCUACACAACCCCUCUAAUUCUAUGUUACACUCAGACCCGGGUAUAGGGUCCCACUCAUGAUAUGUACAAUAAUAAUAAAAAGAUAGAAAUAAAUUAACAAAAUAACUAAAGACAAUCAUAUAUAAAAAUAAAAUGAAGUAAAAUAAAAUAAAAUAAAACAAAAUAAAAUAAAGAAAAAUAAAAUAAAAUAAAAUAAAAUAAAAAACCACAUCAACUUUGAAUAUUUAAUUAACAAGGAUUGAUUCUCUAGUGUCCCUAGUGGAGUCGCCAGCUGUCGCAAC
rnacentral:lncRNA from 1 species